UGCGGAGAGAGAGAGAGAGAGCUCUCCUCCUCCUGUUCCAGAUCGCCGCCGCCACCUCCCCUUCCCUCGCGCCGCCACCACCACCGUCCCUCCCUCCCUCGCGCCGCCCAUUCAUCCGAGCCUAACGAUGCCAGAUCCGCGCGCCACCCAUCGUUCCCCAUCUUCCGCUCCCUCCCUCCACCUCCUGCACAAGAUCUAGCGCCCUGAAGCCUCGGCGUCGCGGCCGGCUGGCUCGCCGGCGCGCGCAUGCUUCGAUGCGCGCUGCUCGGUCGAGCUGGCCGGACCACGACGGCAUGCGACCUAGGGUUUUCGGUAUCCUCGGACGGCCGCCGUCCACCUCGCUGUAGGGAGGGGUUCGUCGUACUCCACCCUAGCAGUCGAUCCCAGCCACCGCUGCUUCACCAGCCUCCUCCUCUGGCAUCUCCGUGAGGGCGCCCGACGCCAGGCAGGCCCUCGAGGCGCCAUACCUCAAGGCCGGUCAUGCUGCUCCUUUUGCCUGUGUCAUUCCCCGACAACGUCCCCAUGGCUAGGGUUUCGGAUGCGAUGGCACCUCCAUCGAUGGUGCGGCUCUGGUGACUCUUACCUCGCCCCACACGCAGCUGCCCAUUCAUCUGAGCUCGACGACACGAGCUCAAGGUUGGUGGUGAGGAGCAAGGGGGCCGAGAAGCCGGCUGCCAAGGGAAGAAGGGCAAGGCCGGCAAGGACCCCAACAAGCCCAAGAGGGUGGCCAGCGCCGUCUUCGUCUUCAUGGUGAUCUGGUUGGGGAGCUGGUGUCGGCCGGAUGGACCAACGAGACCCACAACAUGUACAUCAGCUCCAUGGGGGUGUCCUUCAUGCAGCAGCUCUAUGGCCAGCAGCAGCAGCACCAUCACGCCACUCCCGACAGGAGCAUGAUCCAUGUGGGUAGUGGCCAUGGGCUCAAGGUGCUCCAAGAGGGAGCCUCUGAUAACCUCGGGUCUGAGAAGAACGUACCUUGCCCGUGUGAUGUUGGUGCACGAGGCACCGAUACAGUUCAAGCGAUGGCUCCGAAGCAUGGAAGAGGAGUGAGCACCUGUGUCGGAGGAAAUCCUAUUGACAGAACCUCAGACAGAUGUAUGAAAUCUCUUAACUGUGGACGACAACUACUUCCUUGAGAAGGACCAUCAUCACCCAUCAAGUACGCCAUUGAGGGCGUCCGUGGUAGGCCCUCCAGUGAGUCCGGCAUUUGACCGCUAUUGAAGGAGCUACAUGUAGAAGAAGAAAACACUUGUAGAGCUUGUACCUGAUUCCCAUAGUUGUAGAGCUUGUAUUAACUAAGCUUGUAUUACGUGUAACUUGUAGAACUUGUAAAUGCUACAGCUUGUAGGAUGUGUCAUUUGUAGAUCUUGUAAAUAAGCUUGUAUAUGCUACAGCUUGUAGGACGUGUCAUUUGUAGAGCUUGUAUUGAAUCUGCCUAUUGUUAUUUGAAGUAUCAUGUGCGUU